rnacentral:rRNA from 1 species
AUACGGAGGAUCCGAGCGUUAUCCGGAUUUAUUGGGUUUAAAGGGUGCGCAGGCGGCCAUUUAAGUCAGCGGUUAAAUCGUGGGGCUCAACCCCAUUCUGCCGUUGAUACUGGGUGGCUUGAUUGCGGUCGAGGUUGGCGGAAUUCGUUGUGUAGCGGGGAAAUGCAUAGAUAUGACGAAGAACACCGAUUGCGUAGGCAGCUGACCAGACCGCAAAUGACGCUCAUGCACGAAAGUGCGGGGAUCGAACAGGAUUAGAUACCCUGGUAGUCCGCACAGUAAACGAUGAAUGCUUGUUUUCGGCGAUAUAAUGUCGGAGGCAAAGCGAAAGCGAUAAGUAUUCCACCUGGGGAGUACGCCGGCAACGGUGAAACUCAAAGGAAUUGACGGGG